AACGAACGCUAGCGGCAUGCCUAACACAUGCAAGUCGAACGAGACCUUCGGGUCUAGUGGCGCACGGGUGCGUAACGCGUGGGAACCUGCCCUUAGGUUCGGAAUAACUCCCCGAAAGGGGUGCUAAUACCGGAUAAUGUCUUCGGACCAAAGAUUUAUCGCCUUUGGAUGGGCCCGCGUUGGAUUAGCUAGUUGGUAGGGUAAAAGCCUACCAAGGCGACGAUCCAUAGCUGGUCUGAGAGGAUGAUCAGCCACACUGGGACUGAGACACGGCCCAGACUCCUACGGGAGGCAGCAGUGGGGAAUAUUGGACAAUGGGCGAAAGCCUGAUCCAGCAAUGCCGCGUGAGUGAUGAAGGCCGUAGGGUUGUAAAGCUCUUUUACCCGGGAUGAUAAUGACAGUACCGUGAGAAUAAGCUCCGGCUAACUCCGUG
rnacentral:rRNA from 1 species